CACGUAGGGGGCAAGCGUUGUCCGGAAUCAUUGGGCGUAAAGAGCUCGUAGGCGGCUCAGUAAGUCGGGUGUGAAACCCUCAGGCUCAACCUGGGGACGCCACCCGAUACUGCUGUGGCUAGAGUCCAGUAGGGGAGUGUGGAAUUCCCGGUGUAGCGGUGAAAUGCGCAGAUAUCGGGAGGAACACCAAUGGCGAAGGCAGCUCGCUGGGACGUUACUGACGCUGAGACGCGAAAGCGUGGGGAGCAAACAGG
rnacentral:rRNA from 1 species